rnacentral:rRNA from 1 species
AUUGAACGCUGGCGGCAGGCCUAACACAUGCAAGUCGAACGGUAACAGGAAGAAGCUUGCUUCUUUGCUGACGAGUGGCGGACGGGUGAGUAAUGUCUGGGAAACUGCCUGAUGGAGGGGGAUAACUACUGGAAACGGUAGCUAAUACCGCAUAACGUCGCAAGACCAAAGAGGGGGACCUUCGGGCCUCUUGCCAUCGGAUGUGCCCAGAUGGGAUUAGCUUGUUGGUGGGGUAACGGCUGACCAAGGCGACGAUCCCUAGCUGGUCUGAGAGGAUGACCAGCCACACUGGAACUGAGCCACGGUCCAGACUCCUACGGGGGGCAGCAGUGGGGAAUAUUGCACAAUGGGCGCAAGCCUGAUGCAGCCAUGCCGCGUGUAUGAAGAAGGCCUUCGGGUUGUAAAGUACUUUCAGCGGGGAGGAAGGGAGUAAAGUUAAUACCUUUGCUCAUUGACGUUACCCGCAGAAGAAGCACCGGCUAACUCCGUGCCAGCAGCCGCCGUAACAC